rnacentral:rRNA from 1 species
UACGAAGGGGGCUAGCGUUGCUCGGAAUCACUGGGCGUAAAGCGCACGUAGGCGGAUCUUUAAGUCAGGGGUGAAAUCCCGGAGCUCAACUCCGGAACUGCCUUUGAUACUGAGGGUCUUGAGUCCGGGAGAGGUGAGUGGAACUGCGAGUGUAGAGGUGAAAUUCGUAGAUAUUCGCAAGAACACCAGUGGCGAAGGCGGCUCACUGGCCCGGUACUGACGCUGAGGUGCGAAAGCGUGGGGAGCAAACAGGGAG